UACGUAGGAUGCUAGCGUUGUCCGGAUUUACUGGGCGUAAAGCGCGCGCAGGCGGCACUGUAAGUCAGGUGUGAAAUAUCCCUGCUCAACGGGGAGGGUGCACUUUAGACUGCAGAGCUAGAGGACGGUAGAGGGGGGUGGAAUUGCUGGUGUAGCGGUGAAAUGCGUAGAGAUCAGCAGGAACACCCGUGGCGAAGGCGGCCCCCUGGGACGGUACUGACGCUGAGACGCGAAAGCGUGGGGAGCGAACAGG
rnacentral:rRNA from 1 species